CUCCAAAUAAAGAAAACCUUCGUCCUUUCAUUUCAAACAGGUUUCUCUUUCAAGCAGGUUUCUCUUUCUCCUUAUGUCUGUUCAUCUCCCAAAUCACAACCAGCCAAAAAAACCUGUAGAGAAAAUCUUUGAAGAAAAGACACCAUCAUCAAACUUUGCUCGACCAUAACAAAUAACCAAACGGUUUUCUCAAAAUUCAUAUAAAAAAGAAAAGAAAAGAAAGAAAUUAAGCUCCAUUUUGGUAUAUUCCACCAAAAAAUCCAAUUCUAUUAGCAAACUGAAAACCAUAUACUUUCUUCAAAAACCAACAAAAAAAAAAACCCAGAACCCGUUUCAAUUUUGGCAUCAAAGAGUUUUUUGAAAAAUUUUGCAAAAUUCAAGCAUUAUGUGUGUUUGUUUUCAAGCAGAUCUGAUUAUGUUGAAUAACAAAUUUUGAUUUGACACCUGGAGGCAGGCCUUUGAAUUUGCAAUAAAAUCAUUAGCUUUUUAUUGAGUUUUAAUGGAUUUGGAUGAUUUUAGAUCAGUUCUUGAAACAGCUGGUGUUGAUGUGUGGACUUUUAUAGAUACAGCAAUCCUGGUGGCUUCUUUGGAUUAUGGUCAAGAGUUGAAGCAAAAGAGAGAUGGGAUUGUGGAGAAGCUUUAUGCUGCUUCUAUGGUUACUAGAUGUAAAAGCUGUGAUUUUGGUGAGAGAUCAAAUGGAUAUCAAGUUAAUAAGGAAGGCAACCUCCAUGAAGGUAAAGGAGGAGAAGGAGGUAAAGGGUCACCUUUUACACCUCAAUCGGAUAAUGAAGAUGAUGAUUUGGAUCCCUACGGAGGCUUGUUUGAUGAUGAACAAAAAAGGGUUCUUGAGAUUAAGGAGCGUCUUGAAGUACCUGAUCAGUCUGAAGAUUCCUUGGUUGAUUUGCUUCAAAGCUUGGCAGAUAUGGAUAUAACAUUUCAAGCUCUCAAGGAGACUGAUAUUGGGAGGCAUGUGAACAAAUUGAGGAAGCAUUCAUCAAAUGACGUUAGGAAAUUAGUGAAGCAACUUGUCAGAAAAUGGAAAGAGAUUGUAGAUGAAUGGGUAAAGGUGAAUCAACCUGGAGAACUUGAAUCUGCUGCACUUAUGGCUGAUGGAGAUUCACCACAGCAAAAGUUUCCUCAAAAUGGUCGUCAACAGGUUCCUGAUUUUGCGUACUCUCCAAAUCCACACAAUGGGAGUUUUGGUUCAGACAAGAAUAAUUCAGAACCAGAAAGGAAGCCAAAGCCAAUCCCUCCUCCUCGAAAGGAUCCUCCACCUAGACCUACUCACUCAACUCCUCCACAAAAUGUACAGAGACAGAGAGAACAGAAGGAAAGCAAUUUUGACUCUGAAAGGCUGGCUUCUGUAAGAAAAAGGCUUCAAGAAAGUUACAAAGAAGCUGAAAAUGCCAAAAAGCAAAGAACAAUACAAGUAAUGGACAUACAUGAGCUACCAAAACCCAAGAAUGCCUUCUUUGCAAAGAACAAGGGAGGUGGUUCCCAAGGGAGGCACUGGUGAAUGGGUGAAUGAAUUUGGCAUAAGGACAUCCCAUCUUAGAGAGAGGACAAGGGGACUCUGCAUAAUUACUACAGAUCUAUAAAAGCAAUGAGGUUGAUCAAUCGUUCUUUGCAGUUAUCCUAGUAUUUUUGUUCCCCUCUGUGCAAUUAUAUUAUUUUUAAAGGUGGUGGGAAUUAAAUGGUCAUCUGUUUCCUAUGUUUUAAGUAGACCAAGAGAAUAAUAAGGCUCUCUUUAAGUGGUUUGUAUCUUUAUCAAGUGAUCAAUUGCACUUCAGCCUUUGUUCAAUGACCACAACUGUGAGAGAAAUUAGCCUUCAGCUUAUUAUGCUGGUUGUUGGAUGUAAUUGAUUCUGCUGCUAAGGGGUAUUCUCGUAUAACCUCAAAGGAUAUAUAUUUUUAUGAAUUGUAGAUUUGCUUUAAGGUAGCAGUUUAAUAAUACAUAUUUCUUAAACUGAAAUUGCAUGAGCAAGCUUUGUUGGGGAACCUGUGUGUUGCAACUUAUGAUUUAUAGGUGUUAUAAAGUUAGAAUGCAUAGAAUGUUGAAAAUCUUGAACUUGAUUCUGUUGCUAUGUGAAUUCUGGAUAUUCUUUUA